UACGUAGGGUGCAAGCGUUGUCCGGAAUUAUUGGGCGUAAAGAGCUCGUAGGCGGUCUGUUGCGUCGGCUGUGAAAACCCGGGGCUCAACUCCGGGCCUGCAGCCGAUACGGGCAGACUAGAGUUCGGCAGGGGAGACUGGAAUUCCUGGUGUAGCGGAGAAAUGCGCAGAUAUCAGGAGGAACACCGGUGGCGAAGGCGGGUCUCUGGGCCGAUACUGACGCUGAGGAGCGAAAGCGUGGGGAGCGAACAGG
rnacentral:rRNA from 1 species